rnacentral:rRNA from 1 species
ACUGUUUCGGCAAGGGGGUCAUCCCGACUUACCAACCCGAUGCAAACUGCGAAUACCGGAGAAUGUUAUCACGGGAGACACACGGCGGGUGCUAACGUCCGUCGUGAAGAGGGAAACAACCCAGACCGCCAGCUAAGGUCCCAAAGUCAUGGUUAAGUGGGAAACGAUGUGGGAAGGCCCAGACAGCCAGGAUGUUGGCUUAGAAGCAGCCAUCAUUUAAAGAAAGCGUAAUAGCUCACUGGUCGAGUCGGCCUGCGCGGAAGAUGUAACGGGGCUAAACCAUGCACCGAAGCUGCGGCAGCGACGCUGAUGCGUUGUUGGGUA